AACGAACGCUGGCGGCAUGCCUAACACAUGCAAGUCGAACGAGACCUUCGGGUCUAGUGGCGCACGGGUGCGUAGCGCGUGGGAACCUGCCCUUAGGUUCGGAAUAACUCCCCGAAAGGGGUGCUAAUACCGGAUAAUGUCUUCGGACCAAAGAUUUAUCGCCUUUGGAUGGGCCCGCGUUGGAUUAGCUAGUUGGUUGGGUAAAAGCCUACCAAGGCGACGAUCCAUAGCUGGUCUGAGAGGAUGAUCAGCCACACUGGGACUGAGACACGGCCCAGACUCCUACGGGAGGCAGCAGUGGGGAAUAUUGGACAAUGGGCGAAAGCCUGAUCCAGCAAUGCCGCGUGAGUGAUGAAGGCCUUAGGGUUGUAAAGCUCUUUUACCCGGGAUGAUAAUGACAGUACCGGGAGAAUAAGCUCCGGCUAACUCCGUG
rnacentral:rRNA from 1 species